UACAGAGGCCUCGAGCGUUAGGCGGAAUCACUGGGCUUAAAGCGUGUGUAGGCGGACUUCUAAGUGCCUUGUGAAAUCCCACGGCUCACCCGUGGAACUGCUGGGCAUACUGGGAGUCUUGAGCCACCUAGGGGCGAGCGGAACAAAUGGUGGAGCGGUGAGAUGCGUAGAUAUCAUUUGGAACGCCAACGGAGAAAUCAGCUCGCUGGGGGUGUGCUGACGCUGAGACACGAAAGCCAGGGGAGCGAACGGG
rnacentral:rRNA from 1 species